GGAUGCCCAGAUAAAUUUGAAUUUCAAAUAAACAACAAAUACUUUUUUAGCUAUCAUACGAUAACUAAAAGCAAUAUUUGGGACAUACUUAUACUAAAAUAUUGUGGUUUAUCUGAAAUUCAAAUUUAACUGG
rnacentral:pre_miRNA from 14 species